rnacentral:hammerhead_ribozyme from 1 species
GCACUGCUGAGGAGUCCCAUCUUAGGACGAAACAACCUUCCAGUGC